UUCAUGAAUUGUAAUAAUUGUUAAUCGUUGUCUUAUCGGAUUUACCUUACGAAAUUGCAAUAUUUUAGAACGUAUUGCAUAAAGUAUAUCGUUUAUGUACAUCGUAUUGCGCAUGCUCAGGUACACAUAGUGUACAUAGUACAUAUAGUUCAGUCGUUCGUGUAUACUCUUAACCAUAUAAUUAUUGUAGGUUAAUAAAUAGUGAUAUAAUUAAAAUAGUUGAUAUAUUCUCGAAAAAUAAUCACCAUGAGUACUGAUAAUAGUACAUCAAAUGAUGAUGUAUCAGAAGUGGUUGCAGAUUAUAAGUAUAGACUAGUUGUUUUUGUUGGUAAGAAAAAAAAAAAAGAUAUUGACAUAGUGCCAUCGUCUUGGAUUUUUUAUGAUGAAAAAACAGACACAAUCAAGUGCAAAUUUAUGCCUCCACCAUACGAUGUAAAGCGAUCGGAUACGUUAUCAAAAAUGGUACAGAAUUGUGAACAACCGAUAAAUGAUUGGCCAGUUUAUUCAGUAGACAUCCGAGGAAGAGCUCGAACGUUUGAAGAAGCUAAUGAAUUGGCUAUCCAAUUGGAAUAUAAGCCAUUUGCUUAUUCUACACAAAAUGAAGAGACAGCUAAAGUAAAGGCUGCUAAUGAUGUGCAUUUUUUUAAAAAUAGAAAAACAUUCAGAGAUGAAUCUUUGAAGAUGUUAAAUGAAAUCAACAUCGAUUUAGGUGAAAAAACACGUGUGAAUAGAGCUCAGCCAUCAUCGCAAAAGUUACCAACAGAAGAAGAUAAACAAGAUAGAUAUUAUUCUUCCACAGACUCAGACGAAGAACAUUGUUACGAUGCAUCUAGAUCAAAAAAAAAGAAAAUCAUUACCAGAAAAAAUAUCAAAAGAUCUCGCAUAUCUUCGUCCAGUACAUCUGAUUCGAAUUUAAAAAUUGAUGAAAAUAAUCCACAAACACCUAAUGUAAUGGAAAAGCUAGAUAAGAAUUGUCAACCAGUAUUAUUAUGCUCGUCAACAAACCAACAUUCAAUUGAAAAAAUCGAAGGUGACCAAUUUGAAAAGUUAUAUCGUAUGAUUGAUGCCCGCUUUAAGACUUUUUCAAAUGAAAUAUCGGAGAAAUUCACUAAACUCAAUAGUCAAUAUAAUUCAUUAUCUUUACAAAUUGGACAGUUAAGUGGAAAAAUUAUUGAGAUUCAGCAUCAAUUAACAAAGAAUAAUAUCAAUAACACAGAUAUUGAAGUCGAUAGUGAUGAUGAAAAUGCUGAAAUAAAACUUCCAUGUAAAACAAAAAUAGAUUUUGAUCAGUUCGAUGAAAAACUUGAAAAAGAUAAGAAUUUUCACAAAAAAAUUCGUUCGGAAAUUACUUCAAAAAGUCAAUAGACGCUUACCCAUAACUAGGAAUUUUGGCGAAUUAUUAAGAUAUUGUAUAUCUCGCGAUGUAGGUCUCAUGUUCGCUCCAGUUAAGACUUCAAAAAAAAAAUCACAUGUAUUCAAGGAUACAUGUCUUUUUAAAGUUAUAAAAGCGACGCUCAGAAAAGUUUUUUCGAAACCAGGCGAAGAUGUCCCAGACCAAAAUAUUCUUGAUGCUAUGGCUUCAGCUCUACAUAAUUGUAAAGACUGGGACGGUGGACGAACUGCUCGUUCCAAGAAACCUGCUGAAGCUAAUAGUGAAAUAGACAAUGAGCAUUUAGACUAGUAUUUCAGAUUAGUAUUCUUAAUUGCGUAACUUUUUUAUAUAAAGUAAAAUAUACAUUAUGUAGUUUAUCCCGUGCAUUAUAUUGUAUUCUGAAAGUUUGAUUUAAAAAAUAGUUCUUUAUUACUUAUUGUAUUUUAAGAUUGUAAUGACUAUGAAUGUAUUGUUUGUAAUUGAUAUAUCUAUAUAUAUUUUAAAAUACAUUAUUUUUAAUGUUGCC